rnacentral:miRNA from 1 species
UGUCAUGAAAUUUCUCUCUUG